rnacentral:sRNA from 1 species
GAGCGUAGCGAGAAAGCGUUGCCGCAGGCAACGACCCGAAGGGCGAGAUGCUUUAGCAUCGAGUAAUCCUUCCCCCGCCACCA